UAUAAGGGAUUUUGAGUUUUCGCUUAUAACGUUUGACCACUCGUCUUAUUCAAAAAAUUUUAAAAUUAUUAUUUAUUUUAUUUGUGACUUACUUUAUUAUCUACAGUACUUUAAGCACAACUUUUUGUUUUUUAUAUUUGCAAAAAAAAUUGAAUAAGACGAGUGGUCAAACGUUACAAGCAAAAACUCAAAAUCCCUUAUA
rnacentral:pre_miRNA from 1 species